CCCCCCAGGAUAGAGAACGGGUUUGUAAAGGGGGAAGAUUUCCUGUUUGGGACAACUGUAGAGUUCUCCUGUCGUGCUGGGUAUAAAUUAGAAGGGUCAUCUUCUGCCCAAUGUGUGGCAUCAGGAAAUGGAGUUCGUUGGGAUGUAUCUCUUCCAACCUGUAAAACUGCAGGACAGCUGACUGGUCUCUGUGGAGAGCCACCUGCAGUUGCCAAUGGGAGGCACAAUGGCACGCGGGGGGGUUGCCCACGGCUCUAUUGUAGUUUAAAUGUAAUCAUGGUUUCACCCUGGCUGGAGGGAU